AGCACGGGAGCUUGCUCCUGGUGGCGAGUGGCGAACGGGUGAGUAAUGCGUCGGAACGUACCGAGUAAUGGGGGAUAACGCAGCGAAAGCUGUGCUAAUACCGCAUACGCCCUGAGGGGGAAAGUGGGGGAUCGCAAGACCUCACGUUAUUCGAGCAGCCGACGUCUGAUUAGCUAGUUGGUGGGGUAAUGGCCUACCAAGGCGACGAUCAGUAGCGGGUCUGAGAGGAUGAUCCGCCACACUGGAACUGAGACACGGUCCAGACUCCUACGGGAGGCAGCAGUGGGGAAUUUUGGACAAUGGGGGCAACCCUGAUCCAGCCAUUCCGCGUGAGUGAAGAAGGCCUUCGGGUUGUAAAGCUCUUUCAGCUGGAACGAAACGGUACGCUCUAACAUAGCGUGCUAAUGACGGUACCGGCAGAAGAAGCACCGGCUAACUACGUGCCAGCAGCCGCGGUAAUACGUAGGGUGCGAGCGUUAAUCGGAAUUACUGGGCGUAAAGCGUGCGCAGGCGGAUUGUUAAGCAAGAUGUGAAAUCCCCGGGCUUAACCUGGGAAUGGCAUUUUGAACUGGCAGUCUAGAGUGCGUCAGAGGGGGGUGGAAUUCCACGUGUAGCAGUGAAAUGCGUAGAGAUGUGGAGGAACACCAAUGGCGAAGGCAGCCCCCUGGGAUGACACUGACGCUCAUGUACGAAAGCGUGGGUAGCAAACAGGAUUAGAUACCCUGGUAGUCCACGCCCUAAACGAUGUCAACUGGUUGUUGGGGGAGUGAAAUCCCUUAGUAACGAAGCUAACGCGUGAAGUUGACCGCCUGGGGAG
rnacentral:rRNA from 1 species